rnacentral:rRNA from 1 species
CGUGCAGGCGGUUUGGUAAGUUGGAUGUGAAAGCUCCCGGCUCAACUGGGAGAGGUCGUUCAAUACUACCAGACUUGAGAGUGGUAAAGGGAGGUGGAAUUCCCGGUGUAGUGGUGAAAUGCGUAGAUAUCGGGAGGAACACCAGUGGCGAAAGCGGCCUCCUGGACCAUUUCUGACGCUCAGACGCGAAAGCUAGGGGAGCAAACGGGAUUAGAGACCCCGGUAGUCCUAGCUGUAAACGAUGUGAACUUGGCGUCGGUGGUGUAAAAACCAUCGGUGCCGCAGCCAACGCGAUAAGUUCACCGCCUGGGGACUACGGCCGCAAGGUUAAA